GAAGUCCUAAUGCAGUCGGCUGGGAUCUGUCACUCAGCGCACAGCCCGCUGACGACUCAGGGCAGCCCCAGCUGUAAGCAGCCCAUGAUUUAUGGACACUGAGUGAACUCCUGCGGCAGAAACCAGCCUUGAGAUCAGAGCGGCAAUAGGGCCCUUUUUUUGGCAGGAGACAGGGCCUGCAUUUUUCUCAUUCAUGCCAAACUGCUUUGCACGGCAAUUAGCUCUGUCCUCAUUUACUCUCCAGUCCCAAAGGGUAAUGAAAGUCAUAUAUCAUCUUCAAGACUGCUAAUUAUUGAGCUCGCUUACAGGGAUGGAACUCCCAUGACAACUGAGGGGACAACUGUCUUCUGUUCUGAAUCUCUGUACUGAACUUUACCAAGAGUUGGUCACCAUUUCAGAAACUGCUCUUGAUGCGGGCACAGUACUCAUGGGCCUUCAGUCACCAGCACACCCUUCUCCGUGGCCAGAGGCACUGACAGUGAUCUCCUCAUGUGGUUUCAUAUUUAGGUGCCUGCCCAGGUUCAAGGGGAGGAAAUGCGAGCCCCACCACUUGGAGGAGUGAUGACUUCAUAGCGUAAGGAAAAUACACGGGAUGGGAUGCAUGGCCACCAUCUUUGGAAAAUACUAUUGGCGAAAGAUAUGGAAGCAUCCUGAGUGCUCAUCAACAGGUGAAUGGAUGAAGAAGAUGGUACAUACACACAAUGAAAUAUUACUCAGCCCCCAAAAGAAUGAAAUUCUGCCAUUUGCAGCCAUGUGGAUGGACUUAGAGAGUAUGUUGCUUAGUGAAAUAAGUCAAAGACAAAUACU
ensembl:lncRNA